CCCUACGGGGUGCAGCUGCUUAAGGAAAAGCACUUCGAUCUGCUUAUCACAGAUUUAAAAAUGCCGAAAAUAAGCGGGCUUGAGGUGUUGCUGCGGGCAAAACAGCUUAAGCCUGAUAUUGCCGUAAUAGUCAUAACCGCAUACGGCACGGUGGAAACCGCGAUUGAGGCCAUAAAAAACGGCGCCAGCGAUUAUAUUCAAAAACCGUUUCAGAACGAGGAGUUUAAGCUGGUGGCGCACAACGCCCUUGAAAAACACCGGCUCAGGCUGGAAAAUGCGCGGUUAAAAAACGAGCUGGCCUCAACUGAUAAAUUCGACGCCAUAUUGGGCCGCAGCAAACAGAUGCAGGACAUUUUCAAGCUGCUUUCACGAUUGGCCGGCAGCGACACUACCGUUCUAAUCCUAGGCGAAAGCGGCACGGGAAAGGAAUUGGCGGGGGGGC
rnacentral:rRNA from 1 species